UACGAAGGGGGCUAGCGUUGUUCGGAUUUACUGGGCGUAAAGCGCACGUAGGCGGAUCGUUAAGUCGGGGGUGAAAUCCUGGAGCUCAACUCCAGAACUGCCUUCGAUACUGGCGAUCUUGAGUCCGGAAGAGGUGAGUGGAACUCCUAGUGUAGAGGUGGAAUUCGUAGAUAGUUAGGAAGAACACCAGUGGCGAAGGCGGACUCACUGGUCCGGUACUGACGCUGAGGUGCGAAAG
rnacentral:rRNA from 1 species